GUGCCAGCAGCCGCGGUAAUACAGAGGUUGCAAGCGUUGUUCGGAUUUAUUGGGUGUAAAGGGUGUGUAGGCGGUUGGAUAAGUCGGAUGUGAAAUCCUGGAGCUUAACUCCAGAACUGCAUUUGAUACUGUCCAGCUAGAGUACGUUAGAGGAAAGGGGAAUUCCCGGUGUAAGGGUGAAAUCUUCAGAUAUCGGGAGGAACACCAGUGGCGAAGGCGCCUUUCUGGGACGAUACUGACGCUGAAACACGAAAGCUAGGGGAGCGAACAGGAUUAGAAACCCCCGUAGUCC
rnacentral:rRNA from 1 species